rnacentral:rRNA from 1 species
GCAGUUGAGCGCUGAGGUUGGUACUUGUACCAACUGGAUGAGCAGCGAACGGGUGAGUAACGCGUGGGGAAUCUGCCUUUGAGCGGGGGACAACAUUUGGAAACGAAUGCUAAUACCGCAUAAAAACUUUAAACACAAGUUUUAAGUUUGAAAGAUGCAAUUGCAUCACUCAAAGAUGAUCCCGCGUUGUAUUAGCUAGUUGGUGAGGUAAAGGCUCACCAAGGCGAUGAUACAUAGCCGACCUGAGAGGGUGAUCGGCCACAUUGGGACUGAGACACGGCCCAAACUCCUACGGGAGGCAGCAGUAGGGAAUCUUCGGCAAUGGACGAAAGUCUGACCGAGCAACGCCGCGUGAGUGAAGAAGGUUUUCGGAUCGUAAAACUCUGUUGGUAGAGAAGAACGUUGGUGAGAGUGGAAAGCUCAUCAAGUGACGGUAACUACCCAGAAAGGGACGGCUAACUACGUGCCAGCAGCCGCGGUAAUACGUAGGUCCCGAGCGUUGUCCGGAUUUAUUGGGCGUAAAGCGAGCGCAGGUGGUUUAUUAAGUCUGGUGUAAAAGGCAGUGGCUCAACCAUUGUAUGCAUUGGAAACUGGUAGACUUGAGUGCAGGAGAGGAGAGUGGAAUUCCAUGUGUAGCGGUGAAAUGCGUAGAUAUAUGGAGGAACACCGGUGGCGAAAGCGGCUCUCUGGCCUGUAACUGACACUGAGGCUCGAAAGCGUGGGGAGCAAACAGGAUUAGAUACCCUGGUAGUCCACGCCGUAAACGAUGAGUGCUAGAUGUAGGGAGCUAUAAGUUCUCU